rnacentral:rRNA from 1 species
AGUUUGAUAUGGCUCAGGAUGAACGCUAGCGACAGGCUUAACACAUGCAAGUCGAGGGGCAGCAUAGAAGUAGCAAUACUUGGUGGCGACCGGCGCACGGGUGAGUAACGCGUAUGCAACCUACCUAUCAGAGGGGAAUAACCCGGCGAAAGUCGGACUAAUACCGCAUAAAACAGGGGCACCGCAUGGUGAUAUUUGUUAAAGAAAUUCGCUGAUAGAUGGGCAUGCGUUCCAUUAGGUAGUUGGUGAGGUAACGGCUCACCAAGCCGACGAUGGAUAGGGGAACUGAGAGGUUGGUCCCCCACACUGGUACUGAGACACGGACCAAACUCCUACGGGAGGCAGCAGUGAGGAAUAUUGGUCAAUGGGCGAGAGCCUGAACCAGCCAAGUAAGCGUGAAGGAUGAAGGCUCUAUGGGUCGUAAACUUCUUUUAUAUGGGAACAAAGUUUUCCACGUGUGGAAUUUUGUAUGUACCAUAUGAAUAAGGAUCGGCUAACUCCGUGCCAGCCGCCGC